GAUGAAGAACGUAGCGAAAUGCGAUACGUAAUGUGAAUUGCAGAAUUCAGUGAAUCAUCAAGUCUUUGAACGCACAUUGCGCCCCCUGGUAUUCCGGGGGGCAUGCCUGUCCGAGCGUCAUUGCUGCCCUCAAGCACGGCUUGUGUGUUGGGCCUCCGUCCUCCUCCCGGGGGACGGGCCCGAAAGGCAGCGGCGGCACCGCGUCCGGUCCUCGAGCGUAUGGGGCUUCGUCACCCGCUCUUGUAGGCCCGGCCGGCGCUUGCCGACACAUCAAUCUUUUUUCCAGGUUGACCUCGGAUCAGGUAGGGAUACCCGCUGAACUUAAGCAUAUCAAUAAGCGGAUGA
rnacentral:misc_RNA from 1 species